AGGACGAACGCUGGCGGCGUGCUUAACACAUGCAAGUCGAGCGGAAAGGCCCUUCGGGGUACUCGAGCGGCGAACGGGUGAGUAACACGUGAGCAAUCUGCCCCUAGCUCUGGGAUAGCUCCGGGAAAACCGGGAUUAAUACCAGAUACAACCACUUUAGACAUCUUUUGUGGUGGAAAGGAUUCCGGCUAGGGAUGAGCUCGCGGCCUAUCAGCUUGUUGGUUGGGUAACGGCCCACCAAGGCGACGACGGGUAGCCGGCCUGAGAGGGCGACCGGCCACACUGGGACUGAGACACGGCCCAGACUCCUACGGGAGGCAGCAGUGGGGAAUCUUGCGCAAUGGGCGAAAGCCUGACGCAGCGACGCCGCGUGGGGGAAGAAGGCCUUAGGGUUGUAAACCUCUUUCAGGUGGGACGAAGCCACUCGGGUUAAUAGCCCAGAGGGUGACGGUACCGCCAGAAGAAGCCCCGGCUAACUACGUGCCAGCAGCCGC
rnacentral:rRNA from 1 species